rnacentral:rRNA from 1 species
CCUACGGGAGGCAGCAGUGGGGAAUAUUGCGCAAUGGGAGAAAGCCUGACGCAGCGACGCCGCGUGAGGGAUGAAGGUCUUCGGAUCGUAAACCUCUGUCAGCAGGGAAGAACGUGCACGGUGCUAAUCAGCAGUGACUUGACGGUACCUGCACAGGAAGCACCGGCUAACUCCGUGCCAGCAGCCGCUGUAAUACGGAGGGUGCGAGCGUUAAUCGGAAUUACUGGGCGUAAAGCACUCGUAGGCGGUAAGUCAAGUCAAGGGUGAAAUCCCCGCGCUCAACGUGGGAACUGCCUUUGAAACUGGCAAACGGGAGUGUGUGAGAGGAUAGUGGAAUUCCAGGUGUAGGAGUG